CAGCCGCCGCGGUAAUACCGGCGGCCCGAGUGGCGGUCACUAUUAUUGGGCUUAAAGCGUCCGUAGCCGGGUUGGGAAGUCCUCCGGGAAAUCUGGCCGCUUAACGGUCAGAAUUCCGGGAGAUACUGCCAGCCUAGGGACCGGGAGAGGCCGAGGGGAUUCCCGGAGUAGGGGGGAAAUCCUAUAAUCCCGGGAGGACCACCUGUGGCGAAGGCGCUCGGCUGGAACGGGUCCGACGGUGAGGGACGAAGGCCAGGGGAGCAAACCGGAUUAGAUACCCGGGUAGUCCUGGCUGUAAACGAUGCGGACUUUGUGUCGGACAAGCUAUGAGCUUGUCCGGUGCCGGAGGGAAACCGUUAAGUCCGCCGCCUGGGGAGUACGGCCGCAAGGCUGAAACUUAAAGGAAUUGGCGGG
rnacentral:rRNA from 1 species